AUUAAUUACUAAAGUCUCCUUUUAAAUCUUCAUUACUAUUGUUUCCAUAAAAAUAGAAAAUUAAGAAAACAAUGUAACACAUAACGGCAUCAAACAUAUAAAUUCACAGGAUUGUCAAAUGGAGAAGGAAAAGAAAACAAAAGUAGAGAAAUAUCUGACUCCUUGAAAUAUCUGUGCAUAGCCACGAGGUCUGAUUUUGAAAAUUUCACUAAAGAAAAUAAAUAAAGGUUAAGGCCAGCAAG
rnacentral:misc_RNA from 1 species